AGAUGAGGAAACCAAGACAAACAGAGAUUGAGUGAUUGGUCAGGAUCAUACAACUAAGUGUCUGAGGUUGUAUUUGAACACAGGUUUUUCAGAGAUAUCUCAACUAGUAAUUAGAUUCAGCAUAAUUUUGUUAUGCAGCUGCUAAAUAAAAAUGAUUGUAAAAGGGCUUUGGUGAAUAUUCACUAUGAAACUUAUUUAUCUCUUAAUUAAUCAUUUAUGUGAAUUUGCAUUUAUGCCCAAAUACUGUGUAGUACAAGUAACAGCUGUUCUAUUAUAAAAUGUGUCAGAUUAACUGCUGCAGGUUAAAUUAGAUUAUAACACCACAUUCUCUACAAGUAUGCUUAGACUUCAUAGUUACUUGUUUGCAGAGCAUGAUCUACUAUUUAGAACUUUACAGAAAUCAGAAGGAACAUUAGUGGUGAGUAGUAGAUGGAAAAAUUUGAAGGACUCCUCUUGAAAGGCAGUUGGGGCAAGAGUAGGUACUGCUUGAAGUUAAUUACCCACGUAGUUGUGCUAUCCUUUUUCUUUUUCUCUAGCUUUCCGUGGAGGGAAAGAUCUUCACAGCUUAGCUUUCUCUCCUGGAGAAAUAGGAGAGGGUGGAGCAAUUGGUGCUACGUGAACAAUUUGUCUCCAACCUAACCACCUUUCCUUAGAAGCAAAGUGUUGGGGUAGAAAGCCUGCUGAACUUGGAAUUAGGAGAUGCGGGUUUCAGGACCACACCUGCCUCCUCACUGUUACUUGACACUGAGUCACUUCCCUCCUAACAACCUGUUUCCCUAGCUGUAGAAUCAGGAUAAUGCAAUACCAACCUCACAGUCCUGUUUUAAAUGUGAGGUAUUAUUCAUGCUCUUCAGAGGGAUGAUAUAUGUCACAGUCACUUUGCCUUCUACUUUUAUUGAAAUUCUGGAAGUUUGUUGGAAGCCUUAGAUUCUAGGUCCAUCUCAGAUCAAAUUCGGACCCUGUGCCAUCUUUGUGGAGAUAUACUCUAUACCUUGAGGAUGGUCUCCUGGGCCUGUGCUGAGGAUGACUAAAAGUCCCUAAAACUUUGAACUUUGAGAAGUCACUUUCUCUCCUUGUUCAAUUGAAUUUAGAAUCCUUUGAGAUUACUUCAUAUGAUCCUGUGGCUGACAGGGUGGGGUGUGGGACAGAACACAAUUCCAUUCGCCUCUCUGGACCUAAGUAUCCUUAUCUGUUAACCCAAGGGGCUGGACUAAGUGCUCUUAUUACUAAAACAGAAUAUAAGGAAGAAUAACUUCAUAUCAGAACUCAACCUGACUUUGUUUAAAACCGUCUGUCCUUUUCUUUGAAGAAGAGGAAGAGAGGAACCUGGUGCUUUCAGAGACAUUCACUUUUGGAUAGAUGUAAUUGUUAAGAAGUUUUUCUUUAUAAGAGCUGAGAACAGCAACUUUUACUUAUAGCUUCAUUCCUUCCUCUGAGACCAAAAACAAAUCUUCCUCUUCUACCUAACUUGAAAACAACUGUCAUUCCCCCAUCCCUGGGUCUUCUCUUCUCCAGACAUGAUCUUGAGACUCUCCAUCCAUGUCGACUUCUCUGCAUUCCGUCCGCUAAGGUCCCAUCCAGCUCUGACAUGGUAUUCAGGAAACUCAGUUCAUUGCUAAGGACAUCAUUUUGAGUGGUUAGAGUUUAAAGAUUGGUACUCAUCUGUAAGAUGGGAAUAAUAAUAGCACCUUCUUCAUAGGGUUGUUGAAGAUCAAGUUGGAUAGUGUAUGGAAAGUGCACUCUACAGAUGCUUGCUGUUACCUCUGAGUCUUUUGAGUCCUGGUAUUGGCAGAGGAAGCUGAAGAAAACUGCUAGAGAAGAGAGCUCAUGUGUCCUCCUCCUAGGUGCUUUUCAGCAGCAUGGUGGAGCUGGGUGACACCUUGAAGGCGGGCAUUCAGAGACCUGUGCACCUGUGUUUGACAAGAAGCUGCAAUGUAGUCCCUUCUGGCACUCCCUCAAUGUACAUUGUACCUAUGGCGAUAUCUUAGGCAUCUACGGGAAGUCCAGGAGCAGGUUGAGCCACGUGAGCCACUGUUCUCCAAUUACCAAAUUACUAAAUAUCAGGAAGGUUUGGGCCAGGUCCUCCAAUUCCAAGCCCAGAAUUCUAGCCGGUAUUCCUCUACAUUGCAGUUCUUAAGCUCAUAAGGAUAAUUUACAUUAACAAGAAUCCUGUGGAGUAUUUACUGGUCCAUUCCUGUAUUUGAGAAAGAGAGAGAGAGUUCAUGCUACAGAGAUAGGAGACUUGGUAUUGCAUUGAUGGAAAUUUUGGGUACGGAAAUGUUCUUUACCCUUAGAGAUUGGUGCCAGAGUGCUGAAGGCCCUGCUCAGGAUCCCAUCGGUAGUAUGUGUCAGGGAGGGACCUGAGUGUUGACUAUGGGCAAUUUACUUAUUGCUGAUGACGAGGGACACGUCAUAGCUUGUGCCGGCCUGUGCCAAACCAGAACACACUGGAGCAUGGUUUAGUUCCAGCUACAGAGUGACCUUUUUGACCCCUAGCAGCUGGGACUUCCUCUGCUUAAUAGCUGGGAGAGUAUGGGAGUAGCCAGCGUUCUUAACCUGGGGCCUGGGUACCCCCAGACACCUCCUGUUGAGAACAGUUUUAAUGAAGCUUCUGUUGUACAUUCUUGGUAUUUGGUGGUCACGUUUACGGCCACAUAACUCACUGUCUGUCUUUGGGACACCUCUCCUUGCCCCUUCCUGCUUAAGGUGCCGAGUCUGACCAGACAGCCUCAAAUAGGCAGUGAAUGUUUUACAGACACUUUUAUGGAUGCUUAGGGAAGCUAAGUCAUGGUCACACAGCCAGGCAGGACUGACUUGGGAGUCAAAUUCAAAUCUUCUGACUUAGAGGAUUAUAGAUGUGGAGCUGGAAGGGGAUCUUAGAGGCCAUUGAGCCCAGUCUCCUCGUUUUGCAUUUGACAAAAUGGUCUGAGAGUUGUUAAUUAUAGUUAGGCAAUCUCAGAGGCAGGAUUUGAUCUCAGGUCUUCCUCACUGUAAGCAUAGGACUUUUUACCCAUAUGGCUCAUGCAACAGUGCUCUGCUCACCAUGAAUGGAAAAGCAGAAAUGAGGAGUUCCACAGCACAUCACAGCUGCCCUGACAGUGAGGUGCCUGUCUGAAUGGGAGACUGAGGCUGGAAAAGAGGAGAGACAGCAGAAGGUGUUACCCACCUGCCUGGGGAGUUCCAUUCCUGUUAUUUAGUUGUCCUUGCAGCAGACUCGCCACAUCUGGAAAGCUGGGUUUUCUCAAUGACGCCUUGGACUUAAUCUUUGCCACUUGCAUGUUCUCUCAAGCCCUUGUUAAAGCCACCUCUCUCAGGAGCGUGGACCAGCAUACACAAAAAGCACAUUUCUUAGGAUGCCUUUCAAGUUGUGGGUGCAAGAGGGAAUAGAUUGGGGCCGUUGGGGUUGCUUCUGUCUCCUUUUGUAAGCCAGUCCCUUUUUGUGGAGCCCUUUUCCUCAUCUCUCCCUUUUUCUGCCCAUUUUCUACUUCUUUCCUACCUUUCCCCCCUCACUUCAUCCCUUAUUUUCUAUUGUGCACAAUAACAAUCACUUAUAUUUAUAGAGCACUUAAAUUACAACACACUUUUGUUAUUCUGUGUUAUGAUAUGUAGCAUUAUUUAAGUCUUUCCUAAAUGCUGUCUCUUAGAUUGUGAACUCCACAAGGGCAGGGGCCAUCUUUUGCUUUUUUUUUUUUUUUUUUUU